rnacentral:rRNA from 1 species
UACGAAGGGGGCUAGCGUUGCUCGGAAUUACUGGGGCGUAAAAGGCGUGCGCAGGCGGUUUUGUGAAGUCUGUACGUGAAAUCCCGGGCUCCAACCUGGGAAUUGCGAUGGAGAACUGCAAGGCUAGAAUCUGGCAGAGGGGGGUAGAAUUCCGACGUGAUAGCAGUGAAAUGGCGUAGAGAUGGUGGAGGAACACCGAUGGCGAAGGCAGCCCCCUGGGCAAGAUUGACGCUCAUGGCACGAAAGGACGUGGGGAGCAAACGAGG